rnacentral:lncRNA from 1 species
UUUUCUAUGAAAAAAUCACAGAUUUUUGACUCCCUGAAAUCAUCAUAUAGGAGGCACCACUAUAUAAGGUAGACUAGGUCAAAAGACCUAGUCAAACAAAGAAACUAUGGGGCAUCCCACUCUUGGAUGCCCCUUCUCAUAUUUUUUGCAUGGAGAUUAGGAAACCAUGCACAAAAGAGGCAUCAUAAAGAGAAGGUAGGCAUGGAGAAAGUUGGCACA